rnacentral:rRNA from 1 species
AACGAACGCUGGCGGCAUGCCUAACACAUGCAAGUCGAACGAGACCUUCGGGUCUAGUGGCGCACGGGUGCGUAACGCGUGGGAACCUGCCUUUAGGUUCGGAAUAACUCAGAGAAAUUUGAGCUAAUACCGGAUGAUGUCUUCGGACCAAAGAUUUAUCGCCUUUAGAUGGGCCCGCGUUGGAUUAGCUAGUUGGUGGGGUAAAGGCCUACCAAGGCGACGAUCCAUAGCUGGUCUGAGAGGAUGAUCAGCCACACUGGGACUGAGACACGGCCCAGACUCCUACGGGAGGCAGCAGUGGGGAAUAUUGGACAAUGGGCGAAAGCCUGAUCCAUCAAGGCCGCGUGAGUGAUGAAGGCCUUAGGGUUGUAAAGCUCUUUUACCCGAGAUGAUAAUGACAGUAUCGGGAGAAUAAGCUCCGGCUAACUCCGUG